rnacentral:rRNA from 1 species
AGGACGAACGCUGGCGGCGUGCUUAACACAUGCAAGUCGAGCGGAAAGGCCCUUCGGGGUACUCGAGCGGCGAACGGGUGAGUAACACGUGAGCAACUUGCCCCUGGCUCUGGGAUAGCCUCCGGAAACGGGGAUUAAUACCGGACAUUCACUUCCUUCCGCAUGGUUGGUGGUGGAAAGUUUUUUCGGCCGGGGAGGGGCUCGCGGCCUAUCAGCUUGUUGGCGGGGUAACGGCCCACCAAGGCGACGACGGGUAGCCGGCCUGAGAGGGCGACCGGCCACACUGGGACUGAGACACGGCCCAGACUCCUACGGGAGGCAGCAGUGGGGAAUAUUGCGCAAUGGGCGGAAGCCUGACGCAGCGACGCCGCGUGGGGAUGAAGGCCUUCGGGUUGUAAACCCCUUUCACCAGGAGCGAAUCCAGACGGUACCUGGGGAAGAAGCGCCGGCUAACUACGCGCCGAGCAGCCGC